CGCCGCUUCCCGCGCCAUUCAGCGUGCACGCGCAAGACAACCAGGCACGUACCCGCUUGGAGACUGUCUGGAGUCUGUCUGAAAUUGAUAAAAUUGGAGAUGGAGUUUUACAUCUGUUUGCACAUUUACAAGGAAGCCGCCUGUUGGAAAUGGGAAUGUUUGCUCUCCUCCUCAAACGCCUUACUCCCACGACUCACCACGCUUCAGCCAACAUAUUUUUUAGAUAAACGCUGUGAAAGUUUUUUCUUCUGCAGUCAACCAGCAGACACCUCUUUAUGCACAGGGAAUCAUCCGACAGCCCUAGAGUUCAAGAGGAGUGCACCAUCCAGAAGGCAGUCUCCAUCAGCUCAGAAAGGGAUCCAUGGUUUCUUGCAGCCUGUCAUGCCUUCGUGACUUUAACGCUGGAGUGUGUCGGCCCAAAUGGUUGGGCUGCCACGUCGUAACAACUCUAUUGCAAGGGAUUCCACAUCCAAACUGCAGUGUGGAGAAUGUUUGGUGUAGAGAGCUGGUGGUGGACUAGGAGGAAGAUGUCAUGCUAGGGAUGGGUUUUGGUGAUGAUGUUGCUGCUGUUGAUGCAGUGUCGAGCUCUCACUUUGUGCCUCUGUCAGUUAUGAUGCGUAACCACAAAGUGAGUGACAGGCCAGUCCCCGGGGAGAGAAGGGGGCCUGAGGAUGCCACCGGGCUGCAGGGAUGGCUCAGCCAGUUCACCGCUGGCGUUUUAACCCGGGCUGCGCGUAAAAGAAAGGGGGCAACGAGGAGGACCAGAGGAGCAGCAAGACUGUGAGGAGCCUUCGAGCAAUUCAAUUAGAAAGAUUGUCUUACACGUCACCAGGGCUCAGUACUAUGGAGUACUACAAAAGGUGACGCGCAGAAGGAGGAUUUGUGAAUGGACGCCAUGAUGUGUGCCAGCUCACAGAUCAGAGGGUGGUGGGACCUCUACAGAUGCACCCUGAGCCCCCUCCACACCAGCACCCCCCCCUCUCUCCCUCCCUCCCCCGGUCACCAUCCCUCCCUCCAGAUGAAUGGGGGUCUCUAAGACAUCAGUUCUGUCACCAUGCAGGGGUCGGACCAAAUCCUCCAGCUUCCUGUGCCUUUCAAAACCUGAAUGCAAGCCUCUCCUAUUUGAUGAUCCUGGAUGUCCUUUUGUGGACAUGGAAGCUCGAUGCCCCCUGUUUUUCAUCCCGGGUCAGCCAAGAGCAUGGCAGCCGAAUUAGAGAAGAUUAGAAACGGGCUUAAUUGCGUAUAGUCUACACUGAAAAAAAGUCAAUCAGUUUAGAAAGAAAAUUAGUCUAAAAUACAUUUUAGGAUUUGGAGAGAGCGGUCCACCGGUUCCCAAUGCCCCAUUGUUUUCCAGAACGUGUAUGUGUGUUGUUGAAUAUGGGAGAAAUGGGCGAAUCACAGAAAUGUGGAAAUAAAUAGAUUUGGAUUAAAAACAAAUGCUAUUGUUUGAUCGAGUGGGUAAAUUUUGGCCACGUGUCAAGAUAUAGCUAUUUUUGCAUUGUAACAUGAACUUCUUCCUGCUUACUAUUGUAUUGUUUCAGUUUACUGGCCAAUGUUGCUGAAAUACUGUAGCCUAUAAAGCAUAUUGGGUUUAACUUUGAAACUACUUCUUAUUUUAGAAGCCAUGACGUAGAUAUACAAUUUAAGUUUCGCUUUGCAUUUUUAGGGAAAACGUAGUGAGAUGGUGCUUCUAAAAGUCUAAUUAACUAAUUUUAGUUUCUGCUGCUCAGUCGCCUUCCAGAUAUCACUUACUCCACUAUUUAUUCAUAAUACAUCACCGCAUGUAGAUGAUGUCUAUAUAAUUUUUUUUCCCGUGGUGUGUGUUUACAUGGAAAUCCUCUGGAGUCGCCACGCAGCGGACUUUGGGGCUGCUGAAUCUUCUGGUUUCAGCCCUUUUAUAGGUUUUAAUAACUCUUAAUCCGUCUGAUCGGUCUGCCGUAGAUAAGUCUCAUUUGAAUUGGGAUUGUUCUUAAGGAGCGGCACGUAUUUCUCUACAGAAGUCUCAAACAGAGCUUAGCACAAACAACUGCACCACCCUGAGCGCAAUUAAGGCCUCAGCUAAAUUGGAUGAAGGCUAAUUGAAUGCAGCUGAGCUCCCAUCAGCAAACUCUUGAACGCUUCACUAAUAUGAGAAAAGGUUCGGUGGGUAGUCACUGAUCCCCCCCCCCACACACACACACACACGUUUCUAAAGUAGUAAAUAUGUUAAAAUUGCAAAAAAGUGAAACAAAGCAGCAUGUCUGAAUUUACAUCCAGGUGUAUGUGUAUAAAUAUACAUACAUACAUACAAACAUACACACACACACACGCACACACACACACAACAUUUUUUUGUCAUAAGAUACCAAAUUAAGUGUAAAAACUUCCGCUAUGGUUAAUUGAGUUGUUUGAUGUAGAGUAGGACACCUGUAAGUUAGACCAAUAUAAAACUGGUAAGUUUAGUACAUUUAAUAUUGAUUUCUGGUGUUGCCCAAGUGGAAGAUAUAGUUGUAACAAAAGUUAGUGAUUACUGUAUAAAUCCUAAAUAGGCUUAUACAGCCCAAGUUGGUCUCCGCGAGGUUAACAUAGCCUAAAACUAGAUUAAGAACACCAGGAGUCAGUUUGUUCAAUGUUAUUAUUCAUACAGUAUUAUGAAUUGCCAUAUACAGAAGCUUAAAUCGAACUUAAGGGAGAGUCCAGGCUAAAAUAACACCCUCUAGCUCUGACUACAAAAUAAAACCAAUAAUACAACAUAACCAAAAAGAAAUAAAUGUUCCAAUAGUAAACCUUAUACAAAAAAACAACAAAAAAAAACAGGGAAAAGACAAGUGACAAGUGUGAGAGAAUGACAUGUAAUUCCUUUUUGGAAAUUCAAGCCAAAUGUGAAUUGCUUUUGAAUUAAAAAAAAAAAAAAAAAAACAAUUAGGGAGAAGACAAACUACUGUUUCACGCUUUGUUACUUUAUGAUCCAACUAUAAAGGAAAUAAAGUGUUAAAAAAGAAAAGAAAAAUGAGCUCAGGGAAGAAGAUGCUCACAAAAACGAUGAAGAUGGUUCAGAUACGGCCAUUUGUUGGGCCCAUAUUACGUUUCCUCUCUCUGACCACCAUAACUUUAAAACUAGUAUUUCACUAGGCUCUUCCUUCCAUGUGAAAAUUAACGUCUACAAGUCAUUAAUA